rnacentral:snoRNA from 1 species
UCUGCUGUGAUGAGCUUUUAACAUGUAAGAAGAUCCAUUCAAUAGAGUGGGUCUUUGAUGAAAUAUAUUUGUUAACGCUUGGCUUCUGAGCAUU